UCGUUACCGAGCCUUUUUUUUAAUGUGUUGGACACGAUUGCAGCAUGAGGACGAACGCACAAAGUAUAAGAUUACAUAAUCAUCUGCCUGCAACAUUUAUUAACUGUUAACUUAUUUAGCUGUGAACAAACCUAAUUCUUUUUAGAAUUUAUUUGGAUUGAAAAUAGAUUUUAUAAUUGACAUUAUGUACCUCAUGGAAUAUUCUUCAACAAAUUGAAACAAUAAACCGUGUCAAACCUAUAAUUUUGUACGGAAUAGUUAGGUAAGCAGUGACUAUAAGCCAGGUAUUGUUCCAAAUCACUCAUAUGUGACAUAACUGCAUUAGCCGUAACUCUAUGAUGACAAUAAUUUACAUGUAAUAAGUCGAAGCCACUUUGUUCCUGCAUUUAAGUUUUAUGGAAAAUGUGAAAAAGUUUUUCAAGAUGCAUUCAAUAAGAACGAUACGAUAACCAAGAAUCACUUCCUUGCCGUUCUGAGGCACAUUGAAUGAAGAUAAUUACACCGAUACUCGCAGCCAUGGUAGCAUAUGGCCUGUAGUUGGUUGUGCCCAUAAGUAGAUACGUAUGAUAUAAAAAGGAAGGGGACUUGAACAAAUCAAAACGCACAACACGUCACUGGAGCGGAUCAGAAGGUGAAGCUAUAUGAUGAAGCAAUGGUCACAGAGGAACACAUCCAUAAUUUAUGCAAUCGUGAUAUACUAUAUGCAUGUGUACAUAUGUAUAUUUUGCUACCGGAUUUCUAAGGGCUAUACAGCUUUUUGUAAUGUCGAUAAAUUUAAGAUUUAACAUCAUCAAGUCAAACCAUCAUGAGAAGAAAGAACUUAUGAGGCACAUAUAUACAUACAUACGGUAUACCAGUAACAAUACCUUAGUGAAUCAUCCAACUGUACAAUCAAAUGAAAGUAA